GGAUGUAGCUCAGUGCUAGAGCACAUACUUAGCAUGCAUGAGGUACUGGGUUCAAAUCCAAGGCCA
rnacentral:tRNA from 1 species